rnacentral:rRNA from 1 species
ACGCACGCUGGCGGCGUGCUUAACACAUGCAAGUCGAACGGAAAGGCCCUGCUUUUGUGGGGUUCUCGAGUGGCGAACGGGUGAGUAACACGUGAGUAACCUGCCCUUGACUUUGGGAUAACUUCAGGAAACUGGGGCUAAUACCGGAUAGGAGCUCCUGCUGCAUGGUGGGGGUUGGAAAGUUUCGGCGGUUGGGGAUGGACUCGCGGCUUAUCAGCUUGUUGGUGGGGUAGUGGCUUACCAAGGCUUUGACGGGUAGCCGGCCUGAGAGGGUGACCGGCCACAUUGGGACUGAGAUACGGCCCAGACUCCUACAGGAGGCAGCAGUGGGGAAUAUUGCACAAUGGGCGGAAGCCUGAUGCAGCAACGCCGCGUGCGGGAUGACGGCCUUCGGGUUGUAAACCGCUUUCGCCUGUGACGAAGCGUGAGUGACGGUAAUGGGUAAAGAAGCACCGGCUAACUACGUG